UGGCUGGGGGUGAAAGGCCAAUCAAACCGGGAGAUAGCUGGUUCUCCCCGAAAGCUAUUUAGGUAGCGCCUCGUGAACUCAUCUUCGGGGGUAGAGCACUGUUUCGGCUAGGGGGUCAUCCCGACUUACCAACCCGAUGCAAACUACGAAUACCGAAGAAUGUUAUCACGGGAGACACACGGCGGGUGCUAACGUCCGUCGUGAAGAGGGAAACAACCCAGACCGCCAGCUAAGGUCCCAAAGUCAUGGUUAAGUGGGAAACGAUGUGGGAAGGCACAGACAGCCAGGAUGUUGGCUUAGAAGCAGCCAUCAUUUAAAGAAAGCGUAAUAGCUCACUGGUCGAGUCGGCCUGCGCGGAAGAUGUAACGGGGCUAAACCAUGCACCGAAGCUGCGGCAGCGACACUAUGUGUUGUUGGGUAGGGGAGCGUUCUGUAAGCCUGCGAAGGUGUGCUGUGAGGCAUGCUGGAGGUAUCAGAAGUGCGAAUGCUGACAUAAGUAACGAUAAAGCGGGUGAAAAGCCCGCUCGCCGGAAGACCAAGGGUUCCUGUCCAACGUUAAUCGGGGCAGGGUGAGUCGACCCCUAAGGCGAGGCCGAAAGGCGUAGUCGAUGGGAAACAGGUUAAUAUUCCUGUACUUGGUGUUACUGCGAAGGGGGGACGGAGAAGGCUAUGUUAGCCGGGCGACGGUUGUCCCGGUUUAAGCAUGUAGGCUG
rnacentral:rRNA from 1 species